UGGGUAGAUGGCGGAAUUGGUAUACGCAUCAUAUUCAAAAUAUGACAACAUAGUUAUGAGGGUUCGAAUCCCUUUCUACCUAUC
rnacentral:tRNA from 1 species